rnacentral:rRNA from 1 species
GACGAACGCUGGCGGCGUGCUUAACACAUGCAAGUCGAACGGAAAGGCCCCUUUGGGGGUACUCGAGUGGCGCACGGGUGAGUAACACGUGCGUAACCUGCCCUUGACUUCGGGAUAACUUCAGGAAACUGGGGCUAAUACCGGAUAGGAAUCCUUGCUGCAUGGUGGGGGUUGGAAAGCUUCGGCGGGUUUGGAUGGACUCGCGGCUUAUCAGCUUGUUGGUGGGGUAGUGGCUUACCAAGGCUUUGACGGGUAGCCGGCCUGAGAGGGCGACCGGCCACAUUGGGACUGAGAUACGGCCCAGACUCCUACGGGAGGCAGCAGUGGGGAAUAUUGGACAAUGGGCGGAAGCCUGAUGCAGCAACGCCGCGUGCGGGAUGACGGCCUUCGGGUUGUAAACCGCUUUCAGCAGGGGCGAAGCUUGUGGUGACGGUACCUGCAGAAGAAGCACCGGCUAACUACGUG